rnacentral:rRNA from 1 species
GUGCCAGCCGCCGCGGUAAUACCGGCAGCCCAAGUGAUGGCCGCUGUUAUUGGGCCUAAAGCGUCCGUAGCUGGCCGCACGAGUCCGUCGGGAAAUCCGCCCGCUCAACGGGCGGCCGUCCGGCGGAACCUGUGUGGCUUGGGACCGGAAGACCGAAGGGGUACGUCCGGGGUAGGAGUGAAAUCCUGUAAUCCUGGACGGACCACCGGUGGCGAAAGCGCCUUCGGAAGACGGAUCCGACAGUGAGGGACGAAAGCUAGGGUCUCGAACCGGAUUAGAUACCCGGGUAGUCC